UUCCUUUGGUAUUCCAAGUAG
rnacentral:piRNA from 1 species